rnacentral:rRNA from 1 species
GAUGAACGCUGGCGGCGUGCCUAAUACAUGCAAGUCGAGCGAACAGACGAGGAGCUUGCUCCUCUGACGUUAGCGGCGGACGGGUGAGUAACACGUGGCUAACCUACCUAUAAGACUGGGAUAACUUCGGGAAACCGGAGCUAAUACCGGAUAACAUGUUGAACCGCAUGGUUCAACAGUGAAAGACGGUCUUGCUGUCCCUUAUAGAUGGAUCCGCGCCGCAUUAGCUAGUUGGUAAGGUAACGGCUUACCAAGGCGACGAUGCGUAGCCGACCUGAGAGGGUGAUCGGCCACACUGGAACUGAGACACGGUCCAGACUCCUACGGGAGGCAGCAGUAGGGAAUCUUCCGCAAUGGGCGAAAGCCUGACGGAGCAACGCCGCGUGAGUGAAGAAGGUCUUCGGAUCGUAAAACUCUGUUAUUAGGGAAGAACAAAUGUGUAAGUAACUAUGCACGUCUUGACGGUACCUAAUCAGAAAGCCACGGCUAACUACGUG